rnacentral:rRNA from 1 species
GGUUUGACGAGAGCUAUGCUGUCUCUUUUGGAAUAUUUAAAAAUUAACUUUUAGGUGAAGAGGCCUAAAUUUGUUUAAGGGACAAGAAGACCCUGUUGAGCUUUAGUAAAAUUAUGAGUGCAAUGGAACUUGUGAGGUUUGCUUCACUAGUUAUUAUGUAGUUGUUAUAAUAAUAGGCUUGUAAUUAAUCUUUAGUUGGGGCGACUGAGGAACAUAUAAAGCUUCCUUAAUUUUAUAUAUAUUAAUGUUAUGUUGUAAGUUUUUAAAUGUUUUUGUAUUAUUUUGAUCCAAUUUGUUUUGAUUAAAAAAAAAAGUUACCACAGGGAUAACAGCGUAAUCUUUCUGGAGAGAUCUAAUCGAAAGAAGGGUUCGCCACCUCGAUGUUGGACUAAGAUAUCCUAAGGGUGCAGAAGCUCUUAAGGGUUGGUCUGUUCCACCAUUAAAAUCUU